rnacentral:rRNA from 1 species
GACGAACGCUGGCGGCGUGCUUAACACAUGCAAGUGGUGCGACGAACCAGGCUUCGGCCUGGGGCAGAGCCGCGAACGGGUGAGUAACACGUGGGCAACCUGCCCUGUUGAUCGGGACAACCUGGGGAAACCCGGGCUAAUACCGAAUGUGGUGCCGGCUCAUGAGAGCCGGCACGAAAAGAAGCUUCGGCCUCCGCGACAGGAUGGGCCCGCGGCCCAUUAGCUUGUUGGUGGGGUAAUGGCCUACCAAGGCAACGAUGGGUAGCUGGUCUGAGAGGACGAUCAGCCACACUGGGACUGAGACACGGCCCAGACUCCUACGGGAGGCUGCAGUGGGGAAUCUUGCGCAAUGAGCGACAGCUUGACGCAGCAACGCCGCGUGGGGGAAGAAGGCUUUCGGGUCGUAAACCCCUUUCAGUUAGGACGAAGCUUUAUUGGUUAAUAACCAAUUGGAGUGACGGUACUUUCAGAAGAAGCCCCGGCUAACUACGUGCCAGCCGCCGCAGUAA